CAGCCGCCGCGGGAAUACAGAGGGUGCGAGCGUUAAUCGGAUUUACUGGGCGUAAAGCGUGCGUAGGCGGCUUUUUAAGUCGGAUGUGAAAUCCCCGAGCUUAACUUGGGAAUUGCAUUCGAUACUGGGAAGCUAGAGUAUGGGAGAGGAUGGUAGAAUUCCAGGUGUAGCGGUGAAAUGCGUAGAGAUCUGGAGGAAUACCGAUGGCGAAGGCAGCCAUCUGGCCUAUUACUGACGCUGAGGUACGAAAGCAUGGGGAGCAAACAGGAUUAGAUACCCCAGUAGUCCCUGUCUCUUUACC
rnacentral:rRNA from 1 species